rnacentral:rRNA from 1 species
GUGCCAGCAGCCGCGGUAAUACGGAGGGGACUAGCGUUGUUCGGAAUUACUGGGCGUAAAGCGCGCGUAGGCGGAUGAUCUAGUCAGAGGUGAAAUCCCAGGGCUCAACCCUGGAACUGCCUCUAAUACUGCUAGUCUUGAGUUCGAGAGAGGUGAGUGGAAUUCCGAGUGUAGAGGUGAAAUUCGUAGAUAUUCGGAGGAACACCAGUGGCGAAGGCGGCUCACUGGCUCGGUACUGACGCUGAGGUGCGAAAGCGUGGGGAGCAAAC